rnacentral:tRNA from 4 species
GGGGCCAUAGCUCAGCCGGGAGAGCGCCUGCUUUGCAAGCAGGAGGUCGGCGGUUCGAUCCCGCCUGGCUCCACCA